rnacentral:rRNA from 1 species
GUGGGGAAUUUUGGACAAUGGGCGCAAGCCUGAUCCAGCAAUGCCGCGUGCAGGAAGAAGGCCUUCGGGUUGUAAACUGCUUUUGUACGGAACGAAACGGUCCUGGCUAAUAUCCGGGGCUAAUGACGGUACCGUAAGAAUAAGCACCGGCUAACUACGUGCCAGCAGCCGCGGUAAUACGUAGGGUGCGAGCGUUAAUCGGAAUUACUGGGCGUAAAGCGUGCGCAGGCGGUGCUGUAAGACAGGCGUGAAAUCCCCGGGCUCAACCUGGGGAUUGCGCGUGUGACUGCAGUGCUGGAGUGCGGCAGAGGGGGAUGGAAUUCCGCGUGUAGCAGUGAAAUGCGUAGAUAUGCGGAGGAACACCGAUGGCGAAGGCAAUCCCCUGGGCCUGCACUGACGCUCAUGCACGAAAGCGUGGGGAGCAAACAGGAUUAGAUACCCCAGUAGUCC